rnacentral:rRNA from 1 species
AUUGAACGCUGGCGGCAUGCUUUACACAUGCAAGUCGAACGGCAGCGCGGGCUUCGGCCUGGCGGCGAGUGGCGAACGGGUGAGUAAUGCAUCGGAACGUGCCCAGUAGUGGGGGAUAGCCCGGCGAAAGCCGGAUUAAUACCGCAUACGACCUGAGGGUGAAAGCGGGGGACCGAAAGGCCUCGCGCUAUUGGAGCGGCCGAUGUCGGAUUAGCUAGUUGGUGGGGUAAAGGCUUACCAAGGCGACGAUCCGUAGCUGGUCUGAGAGGACGACCAGCCACACCGGGACUGAGACACGGCCCAGACUCCUACGGGAGGGCGCCGGGGGGAAUUUUGGACAAUGGGGGCAACCCUGGUCCCGGCAUGCCGGCUGCGGGAAGAAGGCCUUCCGGUUUGAAAACGCCUUUGUUCGGGAAGAAAUCCUUUGGGCUAAUACCCCGGGGGGAUGACGGUACCGGAAGAAUAAGCACCGGCUAACUACGUG